rnacentral:rRNA from 1 species
UACGUAGGGCGCGAGCGUUGUCCGGAAUUAUUGGGCGUAAAGAGCUCGUAGGCGGCCUGUCGCGUCAAUUGUGAAAGCCCGGGGCUUAACCCCGGGUCUGCAGUCGAUACGGGCAGGCUAGAGUGUGGUAGGGGAGAUCGGAAUUCCUGGUGUAGCGGUGAAAUGCGCAGAUAUCAGGAGGAACACCGGUGGCGAAGGCGGAUCUCUGGGCCAUCACUGACGCUGAGGAGCGAAAGCGUGGGGAGCGAACAGG